rnacentral:rRNA from 1 species
UAGGGAAUCUUCCACAAUGGACGCAAGUCUGAUGGAGCAACGCCGCGUGAGUGAAGAAGGUUUUCGGAUCGUAAAGCUCUGUUGUUGGUGAAGAAGGAUAGAGGUAGUAACUGGCCUUUAUUUGACGGUAAUCAACCAGAAAGUCACGGCUAACUACGUGCCAGCAGCCGCGGUAAUACGUAGGUGGCAAGCGUUGUCCGGAUUUAUUGGGCGUAAAGCGAGCGCAGGCGGAAGAAUAAGUCUGAUGUGAAAGCCCUCGGCUUAACCGAGGAACUGCAUCGGAAACUGUUUUUCUUGAGUGCAGAAGAGGAGAGUAGAAUUCCAUGUGUAGCGGUGGAAUGCGUAGAUAUAUGGAAGGACAACAGUGGCGAAGGCGACUCUCUGGUCUGCAACUGACGCUGAGGCUCGAAAGCAUGGGUAGCGAACAGG